GACGAACGCUGGCGGCGUGCCUAAUACAUGCAAGUAGAACGCAGUUGCGAACGGGUGAGUAACGCGUAGGUAACUGCCUGGUAGCGGGGGAUAACUAUUGGAAACGAUAGCUAAUACCGCAUACUACCAGAUGGACCUGCGUUGUAUUAGCUAGGUUGUGAGGUAACGGCUCACCAAGGCAACGAUACAUAGCCGACCUGAGAGGGGGCUCGGCCACGCCGGGCUUGAAAGAUGGCCCAGAAUCCUACGGGAGGGAGCAGGAGGGAAUCUUCGGCAAUGGGAGGAAUCGUGACCGAGCAACGCCGGGUGAGUGAAGAAGGUUGGCAGAUCGUAAAGCUCUGUUGUUCAGGAAGCGGUACUUAACCAGAAAGGGACGGCUAACUACGUGCCAGCAGCCGCGGUAAUUC
rnacentral:rRNA from 1 species